CGGAAGUGACUCAAUAGCGCUUCGUGCUGUAGAAUAAUGCACUUUUAACCGCUCAGAGUUUCACAAAAUGUCUUAAAAUUACACAUUCUAUUACAUGCAUUUUAGUCUCCCACACUGGUCGCUUAAUUAUCUUUGCGAGUGUAAUCAUCUUUUAUCUCCGCGGUGAGACAGACGGCGAUAUUUUACUUUGGUCCUCUUUUCAGCGGGAUUUCUGCUCAUUUGGACUGAAAAACACAAAGCGACAUCAUUUUGCAUAGAUUGAAUUUGAGUGACAUUGGGAUGUGAACUCAUGAAAUCACAUGUGAAAUAUUAAAGUGUUUUGAGUGUUGAAGUGACAGAAAAGUGCAGUGCGCGAGGUUAAACUCGUUUGAAGGGAUGGACCAAUAUGAAUCAUAAAAAGAGUCUGUUUAUUGAAGCUCUGGAUAAAUGUGAGGACAGGAGAGAUGGAGGCUUUAAGCAGACCUGGAGGUGUUCUCUCUCAGAUGAUAGUGAAGACGACAGCAGACAUGACGCCGCUCUUGUGACCAUGGAGCGAGUGAGUGGCCAGCAGGAGCUUUCCCCUGAGGGAAUGAAGACUCCAUCCAUGAAGCGCUUCAGUGCUAAUGGGUCUGUGGAGACUCAUGAACGACGUCCAAAUCAAUUAAGGCAACUCAACAGAGCCGGCAAGCUUAGUGAAGCAGCUCAUUCAGUGAGUGUCUCCCCGCUCCCCAAUCGAACCAGCUAUCUGAUAAUGAGUCCAGCGCCGUCCCAAGGAGUUCUGGUUCAGGGGCGGCUCUUCCAGCACGCGCAGUUCUCUGCUCCAAUCAGAAAGCUGGAGCAAAGAUCCGAUAUGAUCCAAAGAGUCGAGCUGGACAGCAUUCUUCUCACCUGUCCUGAGAGUUCAGAUUCAGACAUCAGUGUUAAGAGACGUGUCCAUCAGAAACGGCGGGCGAUGAACGAUAGUCCUGCUCCAGUGGGCAAACCAGUUGAGCAGCCCCUUCAGCCUGAUGAUUACCUCACAGUUUGUGGUAAAUGUGGCCAGCCAAGUGAGGACCAUGUAAAAUGUGACCGCUGUGGAUAUAUCCUACCUGCUGAGACUCUGCCCCUUCCUGCUGUGACAUCAGCGCUGCCCCCUCGCCCCUCCAUUCACUCCCAGCCGCCCUCUGCGCCGCCCAGCCUUCAGAUAAGCAAAAGCUUUUACGAGUCCACCUCUGGGGGCUGCUCUCAACAGAUAGAUGUCGUCAUGAGCCCAUCGGUGCGGAUCACACAUGGAGGUAUGCUGCUCCCGCACAAUGGAAGACUCGUUGCCACUUCGGGAAGCUCAGCGUGUAAUGGACUCAAGCAAGCUGGAGGCAAGAAACAGCAGAUAACCAAACCAUGUGAAUUAAAUGACCCCAUUGUGCUGUCCAGCGAUGAGGAUGAAGAAAGUGAUGAUGUCAGCAGCACAGGGACCGGUAACCGCUUGGACAGCGUGUCGCCGCGGCCCGCGGACUCUGCCCACUCGUCUCCUGCUCCCUCCGGUGGUCGGGUGGAAGCGGCGGUUAAAGCAGCUGGUGAACAUGAGGACCCUAGCAGUGACUUUUUCACUCAGACAAGCCAGAGAAACCUGGGGCCCAGAAGGAAUCGCAUGAGAGAUCGAGUAAGCAGCGUUACAUCUGAAGUGUUUUUGUUGUACUGUUGCUCAGUAUUUCAGAUU
ensembl:lncRNA